UGGCAUGUAGUUAAGCAUUUGGCUGCUAACCAAAAAGUUGGUAGUUCGAAUCUACC
rnacentral:tRNA from 1 species